GAUAGAUUUCAACAUUCAGGAGAAACAAUAAGUCGGCAUUUCAAGAGAGUAUUAAAAGCCAUUAAUGGCUUACAUGAUGUUUACAUAAUAGAUCCGCCCAAUGAAGUUCCCAACGAAAUAUUGGGCGACUCAAGGUUUUACCCAUACUUCAAGAACUGUAUGGGAGCAAUUGAUGGGACACAUAUUAAUGCAAAAAUCAAGCUUGAUAAACAAACUCCUUACAGAAAUAGGCAUGGUUAUCCCUCUCAAAAUGUAAUGGCAGUAGUGUCAUUUGACAUGACAUUUUCAUAUGUGGCUGCUGGAUGGGAAGGUUCCGCAUCGGAUCAAGCCGUAUUAAGGUGGGCUGUUACUGAUGGUGGGUUUGUUGUCCUAGAAGGUAAGUUUUAUCUCGUGGACUCGGGCUAUGCAAAUACUCCAAGAUUUAUUGCCCCCUAUCAUGGAGAUCGCUAUCACAUUGGUUCUUUUCGUGGAACUAAACGUCGAUAUAGUA